CAUUCCUGCCAUGGUUGUUCAAAUCAGGGAACUCCUAGCAUUUCAGAUCCCCAGGGAUUUCAGCCAUGAAACUUUCAGUGGCAGAGGAACAGAUAUUACUUCUUCUCUCCUAUAUUCCCAAAGAAUCCAGCCCAUUGUAGAGAUUGAAUGGCAUUUGAGAAUAAAGAGUAGAGUUCAGUAGACAAAUCAGAGAUUAAGGAUAAAGAAAGUACAAUCUAUCUGCAAUCCUGCAGCAUUGUGUGGGUUACUGCAAUAUUAAAAUGGCAGAGUUCCCUGACCUCCCUUGCAGGACAAGUGACAGAG
rnacentral:lncRNA from 1 species